GCCGGGGUUUCUUUACCAGGUACUGUCAUUAUCAUCCCUGGCGAAAGAGCUUUACGACCCUAAGGCCUUCAUCACUCACGCGGCAUGGCUAGAUCAGGCUUGCGCCCAUUGUCUAAGAUUCCCC
rnacentral:rRNA from 1 species